ACUGACUUCCUUCGCACUCAGCCCACUCGCACCCGGGUGAAUAAACAGCCUUUGUUGCUCACACUUAGCCUGUUCAAGUUGUCUCUUCAAUUAGAUGCUCGCAUAACAUUUGGUGCCGAAAGCCCGGGAUAGGGGAACUCCUCCGGCAGACCUCUCCUCUAUCCUCCCGGUACCCACGUUCUCCCAUGCAAGAGACUUCCCUCGCCCUCAGGACCUCAGACCAGCUCCGCGAGCACUCCGGCCUCUGUCUAUGGAUAUGGCUAGACAUAAAAUCUGCCAAGCUGCCAAUUUCCUGUUACCUACUCCAGAGACCCAGUGAUAUGAAGACACCCUAGCUGGACUGUCAGUUCUCGUUAAGAACCUAACCCCUCAAACUCUACAACCUCUGUGGACAGGAUCCUACCUGGUCAUCUAUAGUACCCCAACAGUGGUCAGUCUACAGAAUCCUCCCCACUGGAUUCAUCGCUCCAGGAUAAAACUAUGCCCAUCUGACGACCAGCCUAGCUCCUCCACCUCCUCCUGGAAGUCACAACAUAAAAAGACAGGAAUGUAAGGUCCUCUGAGCAGGCGGCGCCAUGGUCAAGCCAUCGUGACCCCUGUGACUCACACGUACACAUCCAGAAGGUCUCCUGGAGCCAGAAAGUCUGGGACGACAGGAAAACCACAAAAGAAGAAAAACGGCUAGUUCCUGUCUUAGCUGAUCAGCCAACCUUGUGACAUUCUAUCAUUGUAACAGGCUGUACCCUAACUGAUCAAUCAACCUCAUGACACUGUGCUCUGUAACCUUAUGAUAAUGUACCUUAUGACAUUCUUCCCCUGCCCUCAAUAAACAGCUCCGAACUAUAACUUUCCACUGCUUACCCCUAAAGUAUAAAACUAGCUCCAACCCCACCACUUCCUUUUCGGACUCAGCCCACCCGCACCCAGUGAAUAAACAACCUUGUUGCUCACACUUAGCCUGUUCAGGGUGUCUCUUCAAUUAGACGCACACAUAACAGACAGAUUAACAAGAAAAACACAUACAGAUUAAUUUAAUAUAAAUUUUUUUUUAUUAUACUUUAAGUUUUAGGGUACAUGUGCACAUUGUGCAGGUUAGUUACAUAUGUAUACAUGUGCCAUGCUGGUGCGCUGCACCCACUAACUCGUCAUCUAGCAUUAGGUAUAUCUCCCAAUGCUAUCCCUCCCCCCUCCCCCCACCCCACCACAGUCCACAGAGGGUGAUAUUCCCCUUCCUGUGUCCAUGUGAUCUCAUUGUUCAAUUCCCACCUAUGAGUGAGAAUAUGUGGUGUUUGGUUUUUUGUUCUUGCGAUAGUUUACUGAGAAUGAUGAUUUCCAAUUUCAUCCAUGUCCCUACAAAGGACAUGAACUCAUCAUUUUUGAUGGCUGCAUAGUAUUCCAUGGUGUAUAUGUGCCAUAUUUUCUUAAUCCAGUCUAUCAUUGUUGGACAUUUGGGUUGGUUCCAAGUCUUUGCUAUUGUGAACAGUGCCGCAAUAAACAUACGUGUGCAUG
rnacentral:lncRNA from 1 species